rnacentral:lncRNA from 1 species
UUAAGUAGUUAUCCCACUUUCUAAUCAGGUGAUUCCAGUUUCCCAGUUUGGGAAUAGGACAGCUUCUUCGUUGUUCCAAUGGUAUCAGAGCCAGGUUGGCAAAAAGGGGGUGAGUGUGAUUUCUUUUUCUCAAAAUCAGAGUGUUCUUGAGUGUUCUUGGGAUUAUUGAGGUUUCUGGGUAUGUGUGUUGUCUAUUCUUGUGUGGCUGGGUUUAUUUGAGAUUCUCUGGUGGAAACAUGGAUAUGAAGCACGAAUCUAGUGGAGCAGUGAAGAUUCAAGAAGAAAACAAGUGGGUUUGGCCAAGAUGGGUAAAGACAGCUUUGGGAAGCUGUGAGAUUUGGAGUAAUCAAGUAAAGGGAGAACCUUUAAUGGAGAGAGCUGCUGAUGGGGGUCAGACAGCAAGGUUGAAAUGUGAAGAUCAGUUGAGUCUUGAAGAAAGUAUAUCUCUUGAGAAGAUUGAAGAUGUUUAUGAGAACAAGAUCAAUCUAAGGAGGAUGUAUGAAGUCAGGAAGAUGAUCUGUGAGUUGAAACAAGGGAAAGAAGGUUUCAAUCAGCAUGUGAAGAAGCUGAGAUGUUUGUGGUCGGAGUUACAAAGCUUGAGACCAAGAAGUUGUGAUCCGAGAGUGCUAGAAGAGUGGCGAGAGCAAGAUGUUGUCUUCAGCCUCCUUGCAAGCUUGGAUUCAUCUUAUGGCUGGUUGGUAAAGCUUAUUCUCAAGGAAGAGAAGCUACCCAACAUGGAAGAAGUGUGUGUACUUGUUCAGAGGCUUCAUCAAGUGAUGGAAGAGAACAAAGAGAUAACUUGGAGUAAGGAGGGUGCUAAAAGGAAGAAGGGAAGGCUGAGACGACGUUCUAAGGCUCAGAUCAGAAGAGGAAGGUGUUGGAAGAGAAGCAUACUGUCUGGUUAUCAAGGUAGCUAUGGUACUAUGAAGAUGGGCAGAGUAGAAGCACAACAGAUUCUUAUGGGAGAGUGUUCUUACUCAGCUUACAUGGGAGAAUCUGUAGAGAGCAGUGGGGUUAUGAGGAAGCUAGAGACCAAAGGAGCGGAUGAGCGUGUCACAAAGGAGGAAUGGGAUGAGUUUGUCAAGUAUGUGUAUGCUUUGGCUACGACCCGGAGACAGGGUGCUCCUGCCAAAGCAUCCACAUCCAACAAACCCAUCAUUGUUGAUUCUGGAGCAAGUCAUCACAUGAUUAGUGACAGAAGCUUAAUGAGUGAUGUAAAGAAAGCUACUGGGGGUGUGAUGAUAGCUAAUGGUGAUAGGAUUCCUAUAGAAGGAGUUGGAAAGCUCAAGCUAUUUGAUAAAGACUCAGAUGCCUUCUACAUGCCACAGUUUGCUUCAAAUCUACUAUCUGUAAGGAAAGCCACAAUUGAUCUUGGCUGUCAAGUAGUAUUCAGGCCAGAUGAUGUUGAGUUCCAAGAUUUGAAGACUGGAAGGGUCAUUGGGAGAGGAGACAGCAAGAAUAAUCUAUACCAGCUCCAAUUGGCUAAGAUUUCUAAACCCUUUGAUUCUAUGUGUUUGAGUAGUACUUAUGAGAAGAUUGAUAGUAUUACUUGGCAUGCUAGAUUGGGUCAUCCUCAUGCUCGUGCUAUUGAAUUGAUAAUUCCUAAUAUGUCAUUUAAUCACUUGGAGUGUGAAGCAUGCAUAUUAGGAAAGCAUUGUAGGACUGUUUUUCCAACAUCAGAAACUACUUAUGAGCAUUGCUUUGAUCUAGUUCAUUCAGAUGUGUGGACUGCUCCUUGUUUGUCUAGAGAUAGCCAGAAGUACUUUGUGACAUUCAUUGAUGAGAAGUCUAAGUAUACUUGGCUUACAUUGCUUCCAUCUAAAGAUAGGGUGCUAGAAGCAUUUAUGAACUUCCAAGCAUAUGUAUCUAAUCAAUACAAUGCUACUGUGAAGGUACUGAGAUCAGAUAAUGGAGGUGAAUACAUCAGCAAUGCCUUCAAGAGUCAUCUAGCCAAGCAUGGGAUUGUGCAUCAGACUAGCUGUCCUUAUACACCACAGCAGAAUGGUGUAGCUGAGAGGAAGAACAGGCACUUGAUGGAGGUUGCUAGAUCAAUGAUGUUUCAUGCAAAUGUCCCAAAACGUUUUUGGAGUGAUGCUGUGCAGACUGCUUGCUAUCUCAUCAACCGGGUUCCAACCAAGAUAUUGAAGAAUCUGUCUCCAUUUGAAGUGUUGAACAAGAGCAAACCUGUCAUUGAUCACCUACGUGUCUUUGGGUGUGUGUGCUAUGUCAUGGUUCCAGGAGAGCAGAGAAACAAGCUGGAGGCAAAGAGUACUAAGGCUAUGUUCAUUGGUUACUCUAUCACUCAGAAAGGGUACAAGUGCUAUGAUCCUGAAGCAAGGAGAGUGAUGGUAUCUAGAGAAGUGAAGUUUGUUGAAACAAAAGGUUAUUAUGAAGAAAAGGAGUGGGAAAAUCUGAAGGAUUUGUCUCAAGCUCCAUCUGAUAAGGCAACAAUACUGAGAGUGUUGUUGGAGAAGCUCGGGAUAGGGUUGUCCCAGGAUCAGGAACCCGGCAGGAGAGAGUCUUCCAAUCAGACUGGUGGAGCUGGAAGAACAACUCCUCUUGAUCAUGAGAGGGGGAAUGGAACUGAAUCUGGUGAGCAAGAGCAAAACCAAGAGGAUUCAGGUCUUCAUGAUCAAGUUGAGAACAAUGUUCGGUCUAGUGGAGAAGUGGAUGAGGUUCAGUCUAGUGGAGAAGUAGAUGAGGUUCAGUCUAGUGGAGAAGAACAAGUCGGACCGGCCAGUUCAGAAGAAGAGCAAGUGGAGCCGGCUAGUGUGCAAACUGAAGAUCAGGUGCAAGCUUUGAGGAGGAGCACAAGGAUAAAGAGGGAUCCUUCCAACUGGGUAAACACGAGAGUGUACUACAAUGCCCAGGCUGUGGAGCAUCCUUCUCAAGCCGUGUGUUCCUUUGCUGAGUUUCCAGAGGAGCAUUAUGCCUUUAUGAUUAGUCUGGAUGAGAGUUAUGUGCCAAGGACUUAUGAAGAAGCUAUGUUAGACAAGGAAUGGAAAGAAUCAGUGGGAGCUGAAGCAGGUGCUAUGAUCAAGAAUGAUACAUGGUAUGAGAGUGAGCUGCCUAAGGGAAAGAAGGCUGUAUCUAGUAGAUGGAUCUUCACAAUCAAGUAUCUAGCAAAUGGACAGAUUGAUAGGAAGAAGACCAGACUGGUUGCAAGAGGAUUUACACAAACCUAUGGAGAGGAUUUACAUUGAUACCUUUGCACCAGUAGCUAAGCUGCACACAGUUCGGAUUGUGUUGUCCAUUGCAACAAACUUGGAGUGGGAUUUGUGGCAGAUGGAUGUGAAGAAUGCUUUCUUACAAGGUGAGCUAGAAGAUGAGGUAUACAUGCUUCCUCCUCCUGGUCUUGAGCAUCUAGUAAAACCAGGAAAUGUUUUGAGAUUGAAGAAGGCAAUAUAUGGGCUGAAGCAGUCUCCUAGAGCUUGGUACAGAAAGCUGAGUACAACUCUCAAUGGGAGAGGAUUCAGGAAGUCUGAACUGGAUCAUACACUCUUCACUUUGGUUACUCCAUCAGGGAUCAUUGUGAUACUGGUAUAUGUGGAUGAUUUGAUUAUCACAGGGAGUGAUAAGGCUGGGAUUAAAGCCACUAAAGAGUUCCUCAAGUCUGUGUUUGAUAUCAAAGACUUGGGAGAGAUGAAGUAUUUCUUGGGGAUUGAGAUAUGCAGAUCCAAGGAGGGUUUGUUUAUGUGUCAAAGGAAGUAUACAAUGGAUAUGUUGAAGGAGACUGAUGUACUUGGAGGAAAGGUAGCCAAGACACCUCUUGAAGAGGGGUAUAAGGUCUUACGUGAGGGGGAGGUUGAAGAGAACCAGUUGUUUGAGGAUGCUAAGCUGUAUAGGAAAAUGGUUGGCAAGCUGAUCUACUUGACCAUCACCAGACCAGAUAUAUGUUUUGCUGUGAACCAAGUGAGUCAGCAUAUGCAGGCACCAAAGGUCCAUCACUGGAAGAUGGUUGAUAGGAUACUGAGGUAUCUGAGUGGGACGACUGGACAAGGGGUUUGGAUGGGUUGUAAUGGCAGUACAGAAGUGGUUGGGUAUUGUGAUGCUGAUUGGGCAGGAGAUAGAGUGGACAGGAGAUCAACUACUGGGUAUUGUACAUUCAUUGGAGGAAACUUGGUUACUUGGAAGAGUAAGAAGCAGAAGGUUAUCUCUUGUUCAAGUGCUGAAGCUGAGUAUAGAGCCAUGCUGAAGCUGACAAACGAGUUGGUGUGGAUCAAGGGGAUCUUGAAGCAUCUAGAGAUUGAGCAGAGUACUCCUAUGACUAUGCAUUGUGACAAUCAAGCAGCUAUCCACAUUGCCUCCAACUCAGUGUUUCAUGAGAGAACAAAGCACAUAGAGGUGGAUUGUCAUAAGGUGAGGCAGAUGAUUAUCUUAGGAGUGAUUCUGCCAUGUUAUACAAGAAGUGAAGAUCAGCUUGCAGAUGUGUUUACUAAGGCAGCGAGAUUAAAGACAAUGGAGUCCAUACUAUCCAGGCUUGGACUCAUUGAUCUUACUCCCAGGAGCUGAGCCCCUUAACCAUGGAGUCUCCACUCUUUUUCCCUCAUCAAAGUUUUAUCCCAAUGGGUUUUCUUUGGUGAGGUUUUUAAUGAGGGAGGUCUUCAUGGUUUCCAAGCUUGACUUGUUCCACAUGGUCAAGCUUGAGGGGGAGUGUUGAGAUGAGGUAAUAAAGAGUGACUACAUUGAUAGAGAAAGAGGAUUGAGACAGACAGUAACUUUGGAGUUACCACAGUAACUUUGGUUUUACUGUGGUAACUAAGUUAAAGCUUGGAAAGUUACCUUGGCUCACAUUGGAGAGUAAGCCACGACCAAGAGCUGUAUGGAUAAGGGGGGAGCAGUCUGGAUAAGGUUUCCUCACAGCUAGAGAGGCUGGAGACAGGCUGUAAAGUAGACAGCAUCUAGUAAAAGAUGCCAAAGGGAUCAAGCAUGUGAAGACUCCCAUUGGCUGCUUUUGGAUGGCUCUCUUUGACUACACAUGCCCUGAACCUCUACCUUAUCUAUUGAUUUCGAAAUUGAUUGUCUCUCACAUAUAAGUAUGUUGUAAACCUCAUCUUUAUUAAUUAAUGGAGUUUUGAGUCUCUCUCUUUAUUCUCUCACUAAAAUCUCUUAAUCUCUUUAAUCUUUUCAUCUGAUUAUCUCUGAUUAUUUGAAUCAUGCUCUAAUACACAAAAGUGUAUAUGGUAUCAGAGCCAGGUUGGCAAAAAGGGGGUGAGUGUGAUUUCUUUUUCUCAAAAUCAGAGUGUUCUUGAGUGUUCUUGGGAUUAUUGAGGUUUCUGGGUAUGUGUGUUGUCUAUUCUUGUGUGGCUGGGUUUAUUUGAGAUUCUCUGGUGGAAACAUGGAUAUGAAGCACGAAUCUAGUGGAGCAGUGAAGAUUCAAGAAGAAAACAAGUGGGUUUGGCCAAGAUGGGUAAAGACAGCUUUGGGAAGCUGUGAGAUUUGGAGUAAUCAAGUAAAGGGAGAACCUUUAAUGGAGAGAGCUGCUGAUGGGGGUCAGAC